rnacentral:rRNA from 1 species
AAAGGGUCCGUAGGCGGAUCUUUAAGUCAGUGGUGAAAGCCCACAGCUCAACUGUGGAACUGCCAUUGAUACUGGAGAUCUUGAGUGUAGUAGAAGUAGGCGGAAUAGGGCAUGUAGCGGUGAAAUGCAUAGAUAUGCCCUAGAACACCGAUUGCGAAGGCAGCUUACUAUGUUACAACUGACGCUGAGGGACGAAAGCGUGGGGAGCAAACAGGAUUAGAUACCCCUGU